GGACAGACUGCAGCACCCACCAGGACCCUUCUCUCAUGGACUACACAAACAUGUGUUUUACCUGAUCGUGCUCCAGAUGUCCUGAAGCAGCUCUCAAUGACCACCAGACACCAGACUGAAGCAGAACUGAUGCUGUAGUACCUGUCACUCACUGGGCUCGUUCCUGCUGAACCUCCAAGAGAUAAACCCCUCUUCAAGAAAGUCUGAGGUAAUGUCUUACUGAACUUGUGUUCAUUUAUUUUUUCUGUUAUCUUAGCUGCUGUAUUAAUGCUUGUGACGCUAUUGUACAGCUCUGCUGAUAUCAUCGUCUUUAACAGCAGUGUUUUCUCCCAGGUCUUCUUCAAGCCAGUUAAGAAAGGAAGAACAGCUUAGACACUCAGGCAGCUGAACUCACCAAAGGUGGACAUCAUGCAGCCCCCCUGAGCCUUGAGCCUCUCUGUGUGAGGAAGCUUUGCUGCUGCAGACCUGGUGAAGUUGCUCUGGACAGAAAUAUUUUUUGCUCUGCUGCAGUGCUGAAGGUAUUCAUUGUAAUGAUGUGUGUAUUUAUUCAAUAUGUUUAGUUUCACAGAUUAUCAACACAAAUGUUUCUGUUUAUUUCCUGUUUUCAACCAGCUACAUUCUCCUACUUCAAGUCACUGUCUGUUCAUCCACGGUGUAGCUAGUGCAGCUAACUAAUGGUGAUCCUACAAGUCCUGCAGUCCUGUGAAGCAAGCUGCAGCAGAUGUCAUCACAUUCAGAUCAUCAGUUCAUCUCUACUGCAGCUUUAAACUGUCCCUGAGGUAACGGUGUAUUUCCUUGCCCCAUAACAAUAACCAUGUUUGACAAACAUAGAAAAGCACAGUAUUACUGUUAGCACAGGAUUUUUGUAUUGAUUACAGAGUUAAAGUGAAGGGGAUUUUUUUUUUUUUUUCAGACCUCUCUUCCUCCUGCCUCUGACUCCAGUGAUGCUGUCAACUCGAACACUGAUAACUGCACACGGCGAUUCUACAACCACAGGUCAAAGGUCAAAACAUUACCUUCACUCUGAACUGUACCGGCCUCUGCUUUUGGUUUUGAAAAAA